rnacentral:misc_RNA from 1 species
GCCAUCCGGCCUUUAUUUUUAGCAGAAGCUCGGCCAAUAAAAGAAGAAUGGAAGAUCAAUCCAUAUUUUGGAGUAUUCCCACGAGUCUUCAAUGCUCUGAAAAGUGCUUUCUCAGCACCAAGUAUCUGAAGGGUAGAAGAUGGGCACUUGGCUAGAUUUGAAAGACUUCCAGCAUGAGAGAUCAAGCGGGCCCCGACAACUUCGCCAAUCAGAGAAGUCAAAUUUGGAGCAAUAUCAUUCAUUUUUGUGACAAGAUAUUGGUA